rnacentral:lncRNA from 1 species
AGGAAACAAAAAAAUUAUUGGAGGUUCUUUAUUAGCACCAUUAUCGGAAGGAUUACACAAGUAACACAAUUAUUCAACUAAUAAAAUACAAUUCUAAAUCUAAUUAGUAACGUUUGAAAUAAUAAUAACAACAACAAAAAAGUAUUAAAGAAAAGUCAUCAUUAAAAAGAUACCCAAAAAAAAACAAAAUGUUGCAAAAAGAAUGCAAUCCAAGAAUAUGAAUUACAAUGAGUCCAUAAAAAUUAAGCUAAAAUUAAAACGUAAACUCUCAUUUUCCCAUCCUAAUUAAAAAUGUCUACUUCUUUUCAACAAGUUUCUCAAUCAGGUCAGCUGCAUCUUGAACUGUUACAAUAUUCUCAGAGUUCUCUUCUUCUACUGCAAUCCCAAACUCUUCUUCUAGGGCCAUCACAAUUUCCACCUGUUCGCGCGUUACAAACACUUAAUAGGUUCAAUCUUGUACAGUAUAUAUAAGGUUAAUUUUUUAAUAUACGUAUAGUAACUAGAUGUUGAAUUGUUUUUCACGAAAAUCCUAAAUCCGACACAGAAAGUACUCACAGUGUCAAGAGAGUCGGCUCCGAGGUCCUUAGUGAAAGUACUUUCAGGGCUGACCUUAGUUUCUGCUGGUAAAGCCAGUUGUUUCCUCACUAUGCUUAUUACCUUAUCAAUUGUCUCUGCCUUUGCCUGCUCAUCAUGCAGAAUGGAUCAAUCAAUAAAAAGAGUGAAACUAAUACUGUACUAAUUCUGUUUCAAUUUGUUUGUCUGAUAAUGACUUGACAUAUAUAUAGCGUUUAAGAAAGUAAAAAGACUACUGAUUCUUGCGAUUCUGUUGAAUGUACUAUUUUGCUCUGUUUGAACCCGGAUAUAAGUGUAAGUGUGAAUUAAAAUCAAAUGUGGUUGUAGCAUAGCAGAGUGGAGCAGCCGCGAUAUAAAGAAUACUUCUAGGCAUUUGUAUUAAAACAUGUUAGCCUACAUAUGCCUAUUGUCGAUUGGGAACAAAUAUUUGGCCAACUUUGCAUCGAUUUAUGUUUUAAUACAAAUUAAUGGAGUGAUAGUUCAUGUAGAUAACAGAACAAUGGGUAGUUAAGGUAUGAAACUCAUGAAAAAAGUAGUAAUAGUUUAGGUAUGUUUUCGACUAUUAUACAAAUGUUAACUAAAUAUAUGUGCAACAAAAAAGAAAUGGAGAAGAAGAAUUUACAGCUGCAACACGAAAGCGGGAUGUUCUGAGAGAAGGGAAACCAGCACUACUCCUUCCCCAACCCACUGAAACCAACUUCACAGUACCUCUGUUUAUCUGCACACAUUUUGCCCAAAAUUAGAAGUUUGAACGAACAGUCAAAACUCUC